rnacentral:rRNA from 1 species
GCUCAACCGGGGAGGGUCAUUGGAAACUGGGGAACUUGAGUGCAGAAGAGGAGAGUGGAAUUCCACGUGUAGCGGUGAAAUGCGUAGAGAUGUGGAGGAACACCAGUGGCGAAGGCGACUCUCUGGUCUGUAACUGACGCUGAGGCGCGAAAGCGUGGGGAGCGAACAGGAUUAGAUACCCUGGUAGUCCACGCCGUAAACGAUGAGUGCUAAGUGUUAGAGGGUUUCCGCCCUUUAGUGCUGCAGCAAACGCAUUAAGCACUCCGCCUGGGGAGUACGGUCGCAAGACUGAAACUCAAAGGAAUUGACGGGGGCCCGCACAAGCGGUGGAGCAUGUGGUUUAAUUCGAAGCAACGCGAAGAACCUUACCAGGUCUUGACAUCCUCUGACAACCCUAGAGAUAGGGCUUCCCCUUCGGGGGCAGAGUGACAGGUGGUGCAUGGUUGUCGUCAGCUCGUGUCGUGAGAUGUUGGGUUAUGUCCCGCAACGAGCGCAACCCUUGAUCUUAGUUGCCAGCAUUCAGUUGGGCACUCUAAGGUGACUGCCGGUGACAAACCGGAGGAAGGUGGGGAUGACGUCAAAUCAUCAUGCCCCUUAUGACCUGGGCUACACACGUGCUACAAUGGGCAGAACAAAG